rnacentral:rRNA from 1 species
GUCCUGGCCUUAAACGAUGGAUGCUUGGUGUCUGGGGUUUUAUAGUCCCCGGGUGCCGCAGCUAACGCGUUAAGCAUCCCGCCUGGGGAGUACGGUCGCAAGACUGAAACUCAAAGGAAUUGACGGGGACCCGCACAAGCGGUGGAGCAUGUGGUUCAAUUCGACGCAACGCGAAGAACCUUACCAGGGCUAGAAUGCCUCUGACAACCCCCAGAGAUGGGGCCUCUUAGGGAAACCUAGGCAGAGUGCAAGGUGCUGCAUGGCUGUCGU